CUCUGCCUCUCUAAGAGGCAGUGUGAUUAUUAAAUUAACCCUGGCUCUAGAGUCGGAGGA
rnacentral:pre_miRNA from 1 species